UAAUACCGCAUAUUCUGUGAGCAGGAAAGCAGGGGAUCGCAAGACCUUGCGCUGAUUGAGCGGCCGAUGUCAGAUUAGCUAGUUGGUGAGGUAAAGGCUCACCAAGGCGACGAUCUGUAGCGGGUCUGAGAGGAUGAUCCGCCACACUGGAACUUGAGACACGGUCCAGACUCCUACGGGAGGCAGCAGUGGGGAAUUUUGGACCAAUGGGGCAACCCUGAUCCAGCCAUGCCGCGUGAGUGAAGAAGGCCUUCGGGGUUGUAAAGCUCUUUCGGCCGGGAAGAAAUCGCAUGGGUUAAUACCUUGUGCGGAUGACGGUACCGGCAUAAGAAGCACCGGCUAACUACGUG
rnacentral:rRNA from 1 species